GCCGGGGUGGUGGAACGGCAGACACGCUAGCCUUAGGAGCUAGUGCUCGAAAGAGUGUGGAGGUUCGAGUCCUCUCCCCGGCA
rnacentral:tRNA from 2 species